rnacentral:miRNA from 1 species
UGUGUGUGUGUGUGUGUGUGUGUGUGUGUGUGUGUGUGUGUGUCGCUCCUCCAUACUCACAGACACAAGCACACGGCACCCU